GUUGGAAUAGCUCAGUCGGUAGAGCAUGAGGCUCUUAAACACAAGGUUGUGGGUUCGAGCCCCAAGUUGGACA